rnacentral:rRNA from 1 species
AACGGGUGAGUAAUACAUAAACAAUCUACCCAUACGACUGGGAUAACCGUUGGAAACGAUGGCUAAUACCGGAUAGGUGAGACGAAGGCAUCUUCGAUUCAUUAAAGUUGGGCUACAACACGUGUGGAUGAGUUUAUGGCGCAUUAGCUAGUUGGCGGGGUAAAGGCCCACCAAGGCGAUGAUGCGUAGCCGACCUGAGAGGGUGACCGGCCACACUGGGACUGAGACACGGCCCAGACUCCUACGGGAGGCAGCAGUAGGGAAUUUUCGGCAAUGGGGGAAACCCUGACCGAGCAACGCCGCGUGAGUGAUGAAGGCCUUCGGGUUGUAAAGCUCUGUUGUAAGGGAAGAAUGGCGAUGAUAGGGAAUGAUCAUCGAGUGACGGUACCUUACCAGAAAGCCACGGCUAACUACGUGCCAGCAGCCGCGGU